AGUGCUGGGAUUACAGGCAUGUGCCACCACGCCCGGCUGGCAUCAGUGCUUUUAAUGAAAGGUCUGAGUAGGAGCAGACCUGUCCACAGCAGUAGUAAGGCCUAGUGGAUGCUAGGCUGUGCCUGGCCCUUUUUCACCCUGCUGAAGUAGUGCGUGCAUCUGAAUCCCUUUCCUGUGUUCUCCUCUUCCCUCCCUGAGCAGAGGGCAGGUGGCUGACAGCAUCUCCCAUGUUCCCUUAGGCUCAGAUCCAUCUACUCGGAAACAUAGUGAUCUGGGUUUCGGGCAGCCUCGCUCUGGCCAUCUACAGCCUGCUGUCCUUGUGGUACCUGCUCCGACGGCGAAGAAAUGUCCAUGACCUCCCUCAGGAUGCCUGGCUGCGCUGGGUGCUGGCUGGGGUGCUGUGUGCUGGUGGCUGGGCAGUGAACUACCUCCCGUUCUUCCUGAUGGAGAAGACACUCUUCCUCUACCACUAUCUGCCUGCACUCACCUUCCAAAUCCUUCUGCUCCCUGUGGUCCUGCAGCACAUCAGCGACCACCUGUGCAGGUACGGGGGCUGCAGAGACAGUGGCUGGACCGGGCAGCAGCCCUCUGCUGGGAAGCCCAUGUGCAGCAAACACAUGGGGUGCAGCGAACCUCACCCAUUUCACGUUGCACUGACAUCCUCCUGGCCCCUCCGGGGAAUGGGCGAGGUUCAGAAGAGACGCCCAGAUGAGGCACUGCAGGAACCCAGAGGGAGAAGUCACGGCUGACAGAGAUGAAAGCAGAGUGGGUGGGGAGACGGGGAAGGGAUGAAGAGAUGUGGGUGGCCUGGAGGAUUCGGGAGCAGGGAGCAAGGCCCAGGAGCCUCGGGGUGU
rnacentral:sRNA from 1 species